rnacentral:rRNA from 1 species
GACGAACGCUGGCGGCGUGCUUAACACAUGCAAGUCGAGCGGUAAGGCCCUUUCGGGGGUACACGAGCGGCGAACGGGUGAGUAACACGUGGGUGACCUGCCCUCAGCUCUGGGAUAAGCCCGGGAAACUGGGUCUAAUACUGGAUAUGACUCCAUGACGCAUGUUGUGGGGUGGAAAGCCUUGUGCGGCUGAGGAUGGGCCCGCGGCCUAUCAGCUUGUUGGUGGGGNGAUGGCCUACCAAGGCGACGACGGGUAGCCGGCCUGAGAGGGCGACCGGCCACACUGGGACUGAGACACGGCCCAGACUCCUACGGGAGGCAGCAGUGGGGAAUCUUGCGCAAUGGGCGAAAGCCUGACGCAGCGACGCCGCGUGAGGGAUGACGGCCUGGUGUAA